rnacentral:rRNA from 1 species
GAUGAACGCUGGCGGCGUGCCUAAUACAUGCAAGUCGAGCGAACAGGCGAGGAGCUUGCUCCUUUGACGUUAGCGGCGGACGGGUGAGUAACACGUGGGUAACCUACCUAUAAGACUGGGAUAACUUCGGGAAACCGGAGCUAAUACCGGAUAAUAUUUCGAACCGCAUGGUUCGAUAGUGAAAGAUGGCUUUGCUAUCACUUAUAGAUGGACCUGCGCCGUAUUAGCUAGUUGGUAAGGUAACGGCUUACCAAGGCAACGAUACGUAGCCGACCUGAGAGGGUGAUCGGCCACACUGGAACUGAGACACGGUCCAGACUCCUACGGGAGGCAGCAGUAGGGAAUCUUCCGCAAUGGGCGAAAGCCUGACGGAGCAACGCCGCGUGAGUGAUGAAGGUCUUCGGAUCGUAAAACUCUGUUAUUAGGGAAGAACAAACGUGUAAGUAACUGUGCACGUCUUGACGGUACCUAAUCAGAAAGCCACGGCUAACUACGUG